UACAGAGGGGGCAAGCGUUGUUCGGAAUUACUGGGCGUAAAGGGCGCGUAGGCGGCUUUGCAAGUGACGGGUGAAAUCCCUCGGCUUAACCGAGGAACUGCCUGUCAGACUGUGAGGCUUGAGACCGGGAGAGGUGAGUGGAAUUCCCAGUGUAGCGGUGAAAUGCGUAGAUAUUGGGAGGAACACCAGUGGCGAAGGCGGCUCACUGGACCGGAACUGACGCUGAGGCGCGAAAGCGUGGGGAGCAAACAGG
rnacentral:rRNA from 1 species